rnacentral:rRNA from 1 species
AGAGUUUGAUCCUGGCUCAGAUUGAACGCUGGCGGCACGCUUUACACAUGCAAGUCGAACGGCAGCACGGGGUAACCCGGUGGCGAGUGGCGAACGGGUGAGUAAUAUAUCGGAACAUGUCCGGAAGUGGGGGAUAACGUAGCGAAAGUUACGCUAAUACCGCAUAUGCCCUGAGGGGGAAAGGAGGGGAUCGCAAGACCUUUCGCUUUCGGAGUGGCCGAUAUCAGAUUAGCUAGUUGGUGGGGUAAAGGCCUACCAAGGCAACGAUCUGUAGCUGGUCUGAGAGGACGACCAGCCACACUGGGACUGAGACACGGCCCAGACUCCUACGGGAGGCAGCAGUGGGGAAUUUUGGACAAUGGGGGAAACCCUGAUCCAGCCAUGCCGCGUGAGUGAAGAAGGCCUUCGGGUUGUAAAGCUCUUUCAGCCGGAAAGAAAUCGCACUGGUUAAUACCUUGUGUGGAUGACGGUACCGGAAGAAGAAGCACCGGCUAACUACGUGCCAGCAGCCGCGGUAAUACGUAGGGUGCGAGCGUUAAUCGGAAUUACUGGGCGUAAAGCGUGCGCAGGCGGUUUUGUAAGACAGAUGUGAAAUCCCCGGGCUUAACCUGGGAACUGCAUUUGUGACUGCAAGGCUAGAGUACGGCAGAGGGGGGUAGAAUUCCACGUGUAGCAGUGAAAUGCGUAGAGAUGUGGAGGAAUACCGAUGGCGAAGGCAGCCCCCUGGGUCGACACUGACGCUCAUGCACGAAAGCGUGGGUAGCAAACAGGAUUAGAUACCCUGGUAGUC